rnacentral:rRNA from 1 species
CAGCCAGUUCGGGCUACAGAUCCUAUUGAUGUUCUUAAUAUUAAACUGAAGCGACUUAAGAAAUAUUUUAAAGGGUGGGGUUUCCAUACCUUUGGGCAUAAUAGAAAAAGGAAGAAAUGCAUCAAAGCGGAGCUGGAAAAAAUUGAACAGGAGGAAGAAGAGGGCCCCCUCGAUCCGAAGAUAUAUAAAAAGGUUAGUUUGCAAGCUGAACUGAACGAUAUCCUGGUCAAUAAAGAAUUGUUCUGGCUGUAACAAUCUAAUGAAAGAUGGCUAUUAAAAUGUGAUCUCAAUACAGCCUUCUACCAUCGAAUAGCUAAUGGGAAGAAACGUAAGAACACAAUUCAGUCCUUUACUGACGGAGAAAUAACGAUUGAGGGAACUGGCAACCUUCUUGCUCAUGCCACAGCCUACUAUAAAGAGCUUUUUGGGCAUGGUAGUGGAAACCUUUUUAGAUUAUCCCCUGAUAUGUGGCCUGAGAGUGAAAAGCUAGACGCAGAAGAUAAUAUAAUCCUAACCGGCGCAUUCACAGAAGAGGAGGUGAAAAAAGCCCUAGAUAGCAUGGAUAGUAAUCGUGCGCCUGGACCGGACAACAUUCCAGCAGAGUUUUAUAAACACUGCUGGAAUUUUGUGAAAAAUGAUAUCAUGCACCUGUUUGAGGCCUUUCACAACAACUCUUUGGAUGUGGCCCGUCUCAACUAUGGUAUCAUUACUCUAAUCCCUAAGAUAAGUGGAGCCAAGAAAAUUCAGCAAUAUAGGCCUAUCUGCCUUCUUCGCUGCCCAUACAAACUUAUCACAAAAGUUUUGGAUAACAGAGUGGCUAUAUUCGCUCACAAGCUUAUUAGUAAGCAUCAGAAUGCAUUUAUUAAACACAGAAAUAUUAUGGAUGUCAUACUGACUUUGCACGAAGUUCUUCAUCACACGCACCAAAAAAAAGGGUCGGGGUGGUGCUGA